UAUGAGAUGAUUUUGUUGCGUGUUGCAUUGAUAUUUGUUUCAACAUAUCAGAUUAUGUUGUCGACAGCCACUUGGUGAGAGAUUUUCAUACCAAGGAAUCUCGUGGAUUUGCUUUUGUCACUAUGGCAACUACAGAUGACGCUGAGCGCUGUAUCAAGAAAUUCGAUCACACGGUUCAAUUUGAUCGGGUGAUAGUUGUGGAAAGGGUAAUAUUUAGCUACUGGUUUCAGAAUGAGUAUAACCAAAAAUUAUUUUUGUACAAAUUUUUCCUAUUACUCAUUCCCUUCUAGACGCCCCAUCCCCACCCGAAAUUUCUACUUUCCGAGAAACAUUCCCUGAUAAGUUUUGGCAGCAGGUUUUCUCCGUGUAGCUUCGUCGAAUUCCCCAUCUGGUUGGUUAUGUCUUUAUUGUGAAGGGUUGUGUGAAGUUGAUUUAUUGAACUGCCAAAUGCUUCAAACAAUAGUAUAUUAGUAUGUUGUAAUCUUGUAUCAGUAUGUUCCAAAUGUCCUACCUGUCGUUAUCUUAUUUGCAUAUCUUUUGCAGUCAAUGAGACAGUGUCCCAGGACUCCAACUCCUGGCAAGUACAGUGGUACAAGAUACGACCAUGAACAGAGAGGGAGACAAACUCUUAGUCAUUCACCUAGGCAACAGCGGGAUAAACAUCGUUAUUCAAGGGACCGAUCUCGUAGUCUGUCACCUGUAAGAAAGGAGGAUAGAUAUCGUUUUUCAAGGGAUCGAUCUCGUAGUCAGACUCCGAUACAAAAGGAGGAUAGUUAUUCAACGGACCGGCGAGGAAGAUCACGUUCUCCACGAUCACAUAUGAGGCAGAGGGAUUAGUUGUCAAGAUUAAGCAAAGAUAUCCCUACCCAUUAUAGCCUCCAAUAUUUGAAAUAGUAUCCUUUUGUAUGUGAAAAGGUCAUAGCACAUGUCAACCAUGUUGUUGUUAAUUAGGUUACUUGUACCGAGGUUGUCUUAUCCUACAGAGCAUGCAUGCAUUCUGCAAAAUUUGGUUUUUUUUCCAUCCCAUUAAUCUGGUAGUUUCUUAAUGGCCGAAUGUAUAGUUCAUUGCUUGAAAGACUGAGAGAUACAUGGAGUUCACGCCCCAACUCUUGUU